UCACGCCUGUAAUCCCAGUGCUUUGGGAGGCCAAGGCAGGUGGAUCACGAGGUCAGGAGU
rnacentral:precursor_RNA from 1 species